UACGAAGGGGGCUAGCGUUGUUCGGAAUUACUGGGCGUAAAGCGCGCGUAGGCGGACAUUUAAGUCAGGGGUGAAAUCCCAGGGCUCAACCCUGGAAUUGCCUUUGAUACUGGAUGUCUGGAGUUCGGGAGAGGUGAGUGGAAUUCCGAGUGUAGAGGUGAAAUUCGUAGAUAUUCGCAGGAACACCAGAAGCGAAGGCGGCUCACUGGCCCGAGACUGACGCUGAGGCGCGAAAGCGUGGGGAGCAAACAGGAUUAGAAACCCCUGUAGUCC
rnacentral:rRNA from 1 species